CGGCACUUAGCUCAGUUGGUAGAGCAGCUGACUCUUAAUCAGCGGGUCGUAGGUUCGAUCCCUACAGUGCCCACCA
rnacentral:tRNA from 1 species